GUCACCUGGAUGGACUGAUUGCCUCAGUUAAUUUAAGGAAAGUUUUGGGCCAAAUUAUUGAGGUAAAUAUUUUGAUUAAAUUUUGCUUAGAGCAGUGUGGAUGAAGCUUCUGAAUCCAAAUCAAGACCAAAGUUUUCCAAACACACUGAAGGAGAGAAGUGAGCCUUUGAUGAAAACCGAAACCCGCUCUGCAGAGUCCCAGGCAGUUGACAAUGGCUGGCCUGGAUGAUGCAGGUGAUCAGGGCUAUGCCAGGUAGCUUGGGGACUCAGCCGUGGGGACAGGAGGUGAGGUCCCUCCCCAUUAUCCAGACUGGCCAUUCAGUACCUACCCCUGCCUUCUAAACUGUGGAAAGUGUCCUGUCCUGGGCUGACUCAGGUGUUUGCAUCAAACCUUUAAUCAGCUGUUAUCAGCGGACGGCCCCGUACAGCACGGCCAGCUUGUUUUAUGAACCGUCUACCCGGGGUCCAGUGGUCAGAUCCCAGGGGGCAACAUGGGCUUGGGUGGAACUGCACUGUCCAUGAAGGGGCCAAGGCUACACUUCACAGAAUUAGGAUGAUUUCUGUUGUGUUUUAGCAAAACCUCAUGAUUUUAGCGUCACUAUGAGGCUAGGAUCUACAGGACCUGAAGGAGACCCCAAGGAAGGUGUGGGUAUCUGCUGCUGUUUCCGGGGCUUAUUUCUGCUUGCUGCCUCGGUACGAUUUUCAGUGUCGCAAGGCUUUGCAGGAAUAUUUUAAGCUGCAGGGUCACUGUUUUUGCUAAAAACAGAUGGAUGACGUAUGAAUCCACCCGAAUGGAACCAUGUAGAUAGAAAUUGUCAAGAAACAACCAAGGGAGAGAUCGAGCCCAGGCUCUGUCUCACCUGCCUCAGCUCAGCUUCCCUCUAGGC
rnacentral:lncRNA from 1 species